GGGAAAGUGGCUCAGUGGUAGAGUGCUUGCCUUGCAUACAUGAGGCCCUGAGUUCGAUUCCUCAGCACCA
rnacentral:tRNA from 1 species